GGACAGGAACUCAGAUCUGAGAACAUCUUCAAUCAUAACCCAUCCUAUCAAGUCUAAUCCAAACAUCAUAAGACUGAGAUACUGUUCCGAGUACAAUUUCUCAUCCUGGUAACAUCUUCGUCAAGUCACAGGUUGGGAAAUAUCUUACCAGAGUCACAAGGGGGAGAUUUCUAUAUUUCCUUCCAGCAACUCAUUUGCCAUUUAAGAAACAAGCUUUAAACUCAUAAAGUGACCGUGGAUUAUUUAGAAUUUAAUGAAUCCAUUUUCCCAAUACUGCUGAUUAGAAUCAGGAAUUCCUACACAGUUCUGUAUUAUUCUAUUCCAUCAAAACAUGUCACUGGCUUUGAAAAGCGUAUUUUGGGUAUCUAUUUUACAAAAGAUUUCUCAGCUACUUACCAGCUGCAUGCGCUCUGCUUCUCCACCAGCUCUGAGGCUGUCGCACUGAAGGGGGGGCGGGAAAGCGGCAGCAGCCACUUGAAAAUGAGCUGUGCUCUGAAGAAGGGAUUAGCUCUGUGGAAAGAAAUGAAAUGCCUUGGGAUUAUCCUCCAAUUCCUCCAAAAACACAGAAUCAUUUUAAGUAUCACAUGCUAAAAAGUACAUGCUCAUCACAGAACUGAUUUUAGUAGCAAAACUUCUUAUCUAAAACACAGUUAAAUUGCCUUGGUUUCCAGUGGAACCCCUACAAUGUCAUGGACUUUUGGCUCUCCCGUCUCCUGGCAACAGUCUCAUUAAUAUUUUUUUUUCUGCAGUGGUCCUACUAGGCAUCAGAGAACAUUGACAAGGUCUAGUCUCUGGUGGCAUUUUGUUGUUCAGUACGUGUUUUCCCCCACACAAGUAAUAAGGAGAGUCAGACAUUCAAUAACAUGUUCUCUAGAGGAAGAUUCUGGAUUGGAAUGCAUUCCAUUCAAAUGAUUUGUUCUGCCCUCCCUUGGUGCAGUGUUGCCAUUAGGCCCCUGACCUGAAGAUGGGUCUCAGCAAAAGAUGCCUAACUCCUUCUGCAAUCCUCCAAUUACACGCAGAAAUUCAGGCCCAGACCCAGUGUUGUUAUUAUCUACUCUGCUCAGAAAAAAAAUGCACAGAGUUCACCUGUGUCCUCAGCUCUAUCAUCAUGACCCCCACCUGUCAGCAUGGCUACUGGAGAGAAAGCUUUCCAUACUGACCAAUUGGAUGAUGUCGUUUUGUCAUGCGCCAUCUAGUGGUAAAAUACUGAUUUACCAUGAUUGAAGGAUCGUAAAGAACACAAGUUGACAACUGUUCCAUUAAAUAUUCCUAUAAUUUUAUUGUAACAAAUAAAAGUAUUAUUGUUGUUUAUAAAUACUGUUAA
rnacentral:lncRNA from 1 species